rnacentral:rRNA from 1 species
AGUGAACGCUGGCGGUAGGCCUAACACAUGCAAGUCGAACGGCAGCACAGUAAGAGCUUGCUCUUACGGGUGGCGAGUGGCGGACGGGUGAGGAAUACAUCGGAAUCUACUUUUUCGUGGGGGAUAACGUAGGGAAACUUACGCUAAUACCGCAUACGACCUACGGGUGAAAGCAGGGGAUCUUCGGACCUUGCGCGAUUGAAUGAGCCGAUGUCGGAUUAGAUAGUUGGCGGGGUAAAGGCCCACCCAGUCGACGAUCCGUAUCUUGUCUGAGAGGAUGAUCAGCCAAACUGGAACUGAGACACGGUCCAGACUCCUACGGGAGGCAGCAGUGGGGAAUAUUGGACAAUGGGCGCAAGCCUGAUCCAGCCAGACCGCGUGGGUGAAGAAGGCCUUCGGGUUGUAAAGCCCUUUUGUUGGGAAAGAAAAGCAGCAGGUUAAUACCCCGCUGUUCUGACGGUACCCAAAGAAUAAGCACCGGCUAACUUCGUG